rnacentral:misc_RNA from 1 species
GCUCACCAUUUUCAUCCCUCAAACAGCAACCAAAUUCUAUCUUAUCAUCACAAAUGCAGAAAGCUAAAAUAUGCUUUUCCUUCUCAAGUCACCAAACAAACAUAACAAACUAAACCCUGAAUUCAAAACUCCAGAAAAUCCCAGCAGAUUCUUUUCGUCAACUCUUUAGUUUUCAAAAUCAAACUUCACUAAGAAAUAGAAUUCCUAAUCUUGGAACCAAUUCAUCAACCAUUAAAGACUCUAACUUACCAUUCUACUAGUUUUAGCCCAACAAAA